rnacentral:lncRNA from 1 species
AUGCUGCUUGCAUCUCUGUAUCCUUCAUGGCUAAGGAGAGUAUCCGGAACAUAGUAGGAUCUCAGUAUCUCUUCAUGGAAUUUACACGUCCAUUUGGCCUCUGAAAACCACAUCCUCUCCUCUACAGCUUGUCUACUUUCUUUUCCUGAGGCCAACUGUUAGGAAAUGAUGUUCUAAGGUACUUUGAAAAAUGUUUAAUUCAAUGAUAAAGAGCCUGCCCAAGAGUUUAAAAUACAAUAAAAACAAGAACGUACAUCAAUUGUUGAUCCCAUCUGAUGGCAGUCUGUCCUUGAGCAUAUAGCUAAAAGGAUUUUCUCUGUAUCAAGUGGCACAACUACGGUGGACAUUCUGGAAACCAGGUGUCUGUUUGUAUGAAAAUGGUUGGAAGAAACAGAUCAGCACCCACAUCAGCGUAAUGUCUUCAUGGUCUUAUGCUGCAAUAAAGGGAAUGAUGCAUGCUUCACUGCAGAAAAACUAUAACUGCUGAGAAGUUCUUAUAAACCAAUGAUCUCAAAAUUAUUUUGGUAAUUUUUUUCUUCCAAAUAAAAUUAGAUAAACUCUACAUCCCUUCACUGCGCUCAAUACCCACCUUCUGUAAAAAGCAUGAAGAAAACUUCAAUGGACCAACAAGGCUGUAACACUGGGGGAAAUGAUUGAUUUCACUUAAACACCACCACCAACAAAAAAUGUUUAAAAACAGUUUCACGGCGCAACUUUCUCCUUGCUUUUUUUUCUUAUAGUUGGAAUGUAUUUUAUCGUCUGUCAGUUUUGCCCCUAUGAUAUGUCCUCUUAAAUUGGAUCUGUAAGCCCUUCAUAAAGUUUAAUAAAUCUUCAGCAUUUCACCCUAAGGAAAUUAUAUUAAAAACCUUCAAAUGUGAAGUUGGGCCCACAGACACACAGUGCUGGGA